GAUUAAAUGGCUGAAGUUUAGGCAAUAGAUUGUAAAUCUAUUUAUGAAAGUAUUUUCUUUAAUCA
rnacentral:tRNA from 1 species